GGGGGUCUAGCUCAGUGGUAGAGUGCAUGCUUAGCAUGCACGAGGCCCUGGGUUCAAUCCCCAGCACCUCCA